AUUGAACGCUGGCGGCAUGCCUAACACAUGCAAGUCGAACGGCAGCACAGGAGAGCUUGCUCUCUGGGUGGCGAGUGGCGGACGGGUGAGGAAUACAUCGGAAUCUACUUUUUCGUGGGGGAUAACGUAGGGAAACUUACGCUAAUACCGCAUACGACCUACGGGUGAAAGCAGGGGACCUUCGGGCCUUGCGCGAUUGAAUGAGCCGAGGUCGGAUUAGCUAGUUGGCGGGGUAAAGGCCCACCAAGGCGACGAUCCGUAGCUGGUCUGAGAGGAUGAGCAGCCACACUGGAAAUGAGACACGGUCCAGACUCCUACGGGAGGCAGCAGUGGGGAAUAUUGGACAAUGGGCGCAAGCCUGAUCCAGCCAUACCGCGUGGGUGAAGAAGGCCUUCGGGUUGUAAAGCCCUUUUGUUGGGAAAGAAAUCCAGCUGGCUAAUACCUGGUUGGGAUGACGGUACCCAAAGAAUAAGCACCGGCUAACUUCGUGCCAGCCGCCGCAGUAA
rnacentral:rRNA from 1 species